ensembl:lncRNA
CCGAGACAGCGGCUGCAGCGGCGGCGGCGGCGGCGGCCCCAGCCGGCGUCAGUCAGACUGGAGCCGCGAAGCCUCAUCGCCCGUAUUAGUGCGCCGACCUGGAAAGCCGCCAGGAGUCCUGCUCGCGGGUCCGCCCCCGCCCGCCGCCGCCGCGCGCCCGGAGCCGCUCGGGGAGCCCGCCAGGAGGGGGGAGCGCGGCCCGCCCCGCGGCCACGUGCGCGGAAGCCCGCGGCGGGGGCGCCUCGGGGACGCCCGGGCGCGGGGUCUCCCGGGCCCCCGGGCGGCGUCCGGGUCCUCCCGUGAGACCCGACUCCCCUCGUCCGCGGCUCGGCCCCCUCGGCUGGGCGGCGGGGGCACCUCGCGUCUCUCUCCCCGAACGUCCUGCCUCUCCACCUAGAGCCCGAGGCCGGAGGACCGUUUCCAGAACUCGAGGUGUGGAACCGACAAAUCGGUUUGGAAACCGCCACCCCCAACAAGUGGCUCUUCCCGACGUGUUUCUGAGUCCCGAGGGUGGCUGUUCCUUGCUGUUUGUCUCUUACUUGCUUUGCAAGAGUAAAGGGGGUCAUUACCCCCAACCGACAGCGCCAGAGUAACUGGUUUGCCCCUGCAUAAGCGGAUGAAAAUCGACUCACUCAAGAGUGAUGACUUCUGACGGAAUGAAUCCUAGGAGAGAGAAGAGAUAUUCAAAACUCUUUAAGUGAGAAUAAAAGAACAUCUCUGAAAGCAUUUUCUGUACAAAUAUGUUUCAUGUUCAUAUAGAAUUUAAGAUUAAUAAAGGAUCUUAAUCGUG